GUCAGCGGGGCUCGAACCCACAAAUGCGGUAUCAUGACCUGAGCCGAAGUCAGAUGCUUAACCGACCGAGCCACCCAGCUGCCCUGAGGUGUUGAAGGAUUCUAAGCAGAGUUUACGAAAAUGGGAACAUGUUCUGAAUUCCAGGUCGUCAGCUGUCAGCACAGAGCCGGAUGUGGGGCUCGGACUCAUCAAAAGUGACACCGUGACCUGAGUUGAAGUCAGACGCUCGACCAACUGAGCCACCCAGGCGCCAACCCCCCGCCCCUCCGUAUUUAUGCUCUUAAAGAUCACGUAGGCUAUAGUGGAUGAAAGAAUGGAUUGAGGUGCAACAGAAGAUGGCAAGAGACCAGUUAUGAGGAUACUGCAACAGCCCGGUGUUGAAGAGAUUUUGUGUCUCCAGGGAGUCGGAGUGACUUGAUAUCUCAGAGCAGUUCUGCAGUGUGGAUGCAGUGGUUCUUCAUGGAGCGCGGUGAGUCCUAUGAGCAGACAGAGAACAAGAGCAUAUUAGAGAUCAGCUGAAGUGCGGCCCUCUCAUUUUACAUAGGAGGAACUGGGCAUGGAAAGAUGAAGCAACUUUCCCAAACCCACAGAGCUACUUCGUGGCAGAUCUAGGCCUGCAACUUUGGGGUCAGGUGUCUCCGAGGCUGUGCUGUCCCGUUCGAAUGCAGCAAAUCAGCCGCAGCGCCCAUAAUUGAGAGCUUCUUCCGGCCGGGAGGGUACCUUCUCCACCUCUCACGACAAAUCUUUAAAGGAGGCCUUGUCACUCCCAUUUCCCAGGUCUUCAAGUCAUGGCAGAGACAAAAGCCUUGGCAACUGGGUAACUCCCUGAACGAUAAUCCAGUGUUGGAUCUCCUGACUCUACCAUAUAUCAGUGGAUGGCCACGGGCAAGUUGCUGAACUUCUCUGAGCCUCAGGUUUCUCAUCUGCUUUUGGAAUAAGUGGUGGGAGAAGAAGGUGAAAAGAGUUGGAACUGACAAUAAAACUCCAGCGCCCUGGAGAGGGGGCCUUCCUGGAAGCUACAUAAGUCUCCCUGAUGGAAGGAAAUCUUAGCGACUUUGGAAACGACUCAAGUUUGCUGUCAUGUUCACAUGUGGUGGUGGUGACGGUCAGGGCCAGGGGGAGGCUGCACCUUAGUGAACAGCUUGGUUGAAUGAGGGCUGUACUAAACUCACCGAUGUGAGAAAUGCCAAGUUUUCCAGAUAAUAGGUGGCACCUUAGAUGUCAGAGUCCACUGCAAAUAAUAGCUCGUGCUCAGUUAGUUAUGGGUACUAAGUAAAUACUAAUAGAAACUGAUAAGAUCAUGAUUUGGAGAAAAACAGAAGAGCAGUAAGUAGACUGUGACAAGUUGCUGUGUAAUUACCUUUCAUCUUUUGGGGUAAAGGAGAACUGAAUAAAGCCACUCAUGUUACCUA